rnacentral:misc_RNA from 1 species
CCUCGGUCUAGUUUAUUUGCUUGGCUGGAAUCCGAUGACCGUCUUGUUAGAGUUAACGCUAAUAUAAUAUACAAUAUUUGAAGUUGAUAAUUUGUAUUGGUAUAGUUUAUAAAAUAUAGAGGAUAAGAUAUAUGGGACAUUGCUGGAGACUGAGAAAAUAUAGAGAACGAAAUCUUUUAGAGUGUGCUGUAAAGGACAGAGAAUAUUCUUUUAGGGGAUAGAAUUUAGGGAACGUUGCUGGAGACAGUCUAAUAGAGAUGGACAUGUAUGUGCCAUGUGGUAUAUGCGUUGCGUGUUUCUAGAAAAAAAAAAUCAAUAGGAUCGGAAGGCCGCAGGAAAGGCUUCGCGCAUGCUUCUAUAAAAAAGCGUCACAGCAGAAACGUACCAACGCAGAUCGAUGGGUGGGGAAAUGGAGGCCACCGCCGCCGAGACGGGGCUCGCCCAGAGACCGGUUGUGCUGUACCCGUCACCAGGGAUGGGCCACCUGGUCUCCAUGAUCGAGCUCGGCAAGCUCCUCGGCGCGCGGGGGCUGCCCGUCACAAUCGUCGUCGUCGAGCCGCCCUUCAACACGGGCGCCACGGCGCCUUUCCUCGCCGGCGUCUCCGCCGCCAACCCGUCCAUCUCCUUCCACCGCCUGCCCAAGGUGGAGCGCCUCCCUCUCGUCAGUACCAAGCACCAGGAGGCGCUCACCUUCGAGGUCAUCCGCGUCUCCAACCCGCACCUCCGCGAGUUCCUGGCCGCCGCGACCCCGGCCGUGCUCGUCGUCGACUUCUUCUGCAGCAUCGCGCUGGACGUGGCGGAGGAGCUCCGCGUGCCGGCCUACUUCUUCUUCACCUCGGGCGCCGAGGUCCUGGCCUUCUUCCUGCACCUCCCGGCGCUCCACGAGCGGGCCACGGCGAGCUUCCAGGACAUGGGGGAGGAGCCCGUGCAGGUGCCCGGCAUCCCGCCGUUCCCGGCGACGCACGCCAUCCUGCCCGUCAUGGAGCGCGACGACGCGGCUUACGACGGCUUCGUCAAGGGUUGCGCCGACCUCUGCCGCUCCCAGGGCGUCCUCGUCAACACGUUCCGCCUGCUGGAGCAGCGCGCCGUCGAGACCGUGGCCGCGGGCCACUGCACGCCCCCCGGCCUCCCGACCCCGCCCAUCUACUGCAUCGGGCCGCUCAUCAAAUCGGAGGAGGUGCUGGGCAAGGGCGGCGAGGAGUGCCUGGCGUGGCUGGACGCGCAGCCCAGGGCCAGCGUGGUGCUCCUCUGCUUCGGCAGCAUCGGCCGGUUCAGCGCCGAGCAGAUAAGGGAGGUGGCGGCCGGCCUGGAAGCCAGCCGGCAGCGCUUCCUGUGGGUGGUCCGGGCGCCGCCCAGCGACGAUCCGGCCAAGAAGUUCGAGAAGCCGCCGGAGCCGGACCUGGACGCGCUCCUCCCGGAGGGUUUCUUGGCCAGGACCAAGGACAGGGGCCUCGUCGUCAAGUCGUGGGCACCGCAGCGGGACGUGCUAGCGCACGCGUCCGUUGGCGGCUUCGUCACGCACUGCGGCUGGAACUCGGUCCUGGAGGCGAUCAUGGCGGGCGUGCCGAUGGUGGCGUGGCCGCUCUACGCGGAGCAGCGGCUCAAUCGGGUGUUCCUGGAGAAGGAGAUGCAGCUGGCCGUGGCCGUGGCAGGGUACGACAGCGACAAGGGCCUCGUGCCGGCCGAGGAGGUUGCUGCGAAGGUGCGUUGGAUCAUGGACUCCGAAGGCGGGAGGAUGCUCCGGGAGCGCACGCUGGCGGCCAUGCGGCAGGCCAAGGACGCGCUGCGCGAGGGCGGUGAAUCGGAGGCCACACUGGCCGGGCUGGUGGACGACUGGAAACGUACUUGACGUGGUUGCUGUGGAUUAUGUUGGAAGGGGGUGGGGGUUACGCGACACUGUUCGCCAUCUAUGGACUUUACAUCGGAACGAGACCUUCUAGAUGAUCAAUUAUGUCCUGGUACCAGAAACUGUUCUAGAUGAUUAAUUAUUAUAUAAAUUAAACUAUUAUUUAAAGUGGAAUUGUUCCG